rnacentral:rRNA from 1 species
UACGUAGGGGGCAAGCGUUGUCCGGAUUUAUUGGGCGUAAAGAGCGUGUAGGCGGCCAGGUAGGUCCGUUGUGAAAACUCGAGGCUCAACCUCGAGACGCCGAUGGAAACCAUUUGGCUAGAGUCCGGAAGAGGAGAGUGGAAUUCCUGGUGUAGCGGUGAAAUGCGCAGAUAUCAGGAGGAACACCGGUGGCGAAGGCGGGUCUCUGGGCCGAUACUGACGCUGAGGAGCGAAAGCGUGGGGAGCGAACAGG